GCACUCAGUACCAAAGUUGGUGAGACACCUUGCCCAUGUGUUAGGCUGUGUUUAUAGUGUGUGUUAAAUCUGGCUGUGGAUCUUUUGACCAUAGAAAGCCUCCUGUUCUGCCUACAAAAGCCACAACCUCAGGCUAGAAUGUUAUCCAAGUCUUUAUUUCUUUUAGGUUAGCCACAUCAGAGGCUGAUUGGAUUUUUGCCUUUGGUAUGCUGUCUUUGUGGCUUCCUCCUGUCUACUGGCUGCCCUGGCCAUGGAGAAAAGCAUCAUGCUUAGCGCUCCAAAUACUGUUGGCAAAUGAUGUAACUUCUAAUUCUGUCUGACCAGCAAGCUUCUGAAUAAUAAGCCAGUAACACAUGGAAACACUGAGUGAAAAGAUUAUUUCCACAGCCUCGCAUGUGGGCAUUGCCAAAUGAUGGGGUUAAAUGGAAAUCUCUGGCAGCUGCAUGCAGAACUGUUUCCUGGUGGUGAAGCUGUGGACAGAGUUCCCAGAGGAGGAUUGAGUUUGGCAGGGCUUGAGAUCACCUUGCUGACUCCCACUUGUGUUAGUGGAGUGAUGGGAGUGAUUUGCCUGGGUUCUUUAAAUCUGCAGCAGGAGAAGUCAGGGAGAAGCAUGUAACUAGAUGUUCUGCAGUGGCACAAAGCUGAGAGAAAAGCUUCAAGGGUAAUGUUCUGUCCUUAAUAAUGUUCCUUGUUCAGUAUUAGUAGAAAAUUACUCUUUCUGCAUUCCUUCAUA